GAUGAACGCUGGCGGCGUGCCUAAUACAUGCAAGUCGAGCGAACGGACGAGAAGCUUGCUUCUCUGAUGUUAGCGGCGGACGGGUGAGUAACACGUGGAUAACCUACCUAUAAGACUGGGAUAACUUCGGGAAACCGGAGCUAAUACCGGAUAAUAUUUUGAACCGCAUGGUUCAAAAGUGAAAGACGGUCUUGCUGUCACUUAUAGAUGGAUCCGCGCUGCAUCAGCUAGUUGGUAAGGUAACGGCUUACCAAGGCAACGAUGCAUAGCCGACCUGAGAGGGUGAUCGGCCACACUGGAACUGAGACACGGUCCAGACUCCUACGGGAGGCAGCAGUAGGGAAUCUUCCGCAAUGGGCGAAAGCCUGACGGAGCAACGCCGCGUGAGUGAUGAAGGUCUUCGGAUCGUAAAACUCUGUUAUUAGGGAAGAACAAAUGUGUAAGUAACUGUGCACAUCUUGACGGUACCUAAUCAGAAAGCCACGGCUAACUACGUG
rnacentral:rRNA from 1 species